rnacentral:rRNA from 1 species
GAUGAACGCUGGCGGCGUGCCUAAUACAUGCAAGUCGAGCGAACAGACGAGGAGCUUGCUCCUCUGACGUUAGCGGCGGACGGGUGAGUAACACGUGGAUAACCUACCUAUAAUACUGGGAUAACUUCGGGAAACCUGAGCUAAUACCGGAUAAUAUAUUGAACCGCAUGGUUCAAUAGUGAAAGACGGUUUUGCUGUCACUUAUAGAUGGAUCCGCGCCGCAUUAGCUAGUUGGUAAGGUAACGGCUUACCAAGGCAACGAUGCGUAGCCGACCUGAGAGGGUGAUCGGCCACACUGGAACUUGGACACGGUCCAGACUACUACGGGAGGCAGCAGUAGGGAAUCUUCCGCAAUGGGCGAAAGCCUGACGGAGCAACGCCGCGUGAGUGAUGAAGGUCUUCGGAUCGUAAAACUCUGUUAUUAGGGAAGAACAAAUGUGUAAGUAACUAUGCACGUCUUGACGGUACCUAAUCAGAAAGCCACGGCUAACUACGUG